UGGGGAAUUUUGGACAAUGGACGCAAGUCUGAUCCAGCCAUGCCGCGUGCGGGAAGAAGGCCUUCGGGUUGUAAACCGCUUUUGUCAGGGAAGAAACGAGUUUCUCUAAUACAGAGACUUAAUGACGGUACCUGAAGAAUAAGCACCGGCUAACUACGUGCCAGCAGCCGCGGUAAUACGUAGGGUGCGAGCGUUAAUCGGAAUUACUGGGCGUAAAGCGUGCGCAGGCGGUUAUGCAAGACAGAUGUGAAAUCCCCGGGCUCAACCUGGGAACUGCAUUUGUGACUGCAUCGCUGGAGUGCGGCAGAGGGGGAUGGAAUUCCGCGUGUAGCAGUGAAAUGCGUAGAUAUGCGGAGGAACACCGAUGGCGAAGGCAAUCCCCUGGACCUGUACUGACGCUCAUGCACGAAAGCGUGGGGAGCAAACA
rnacentral:rRNA from 1 species